rnacentral:lncRNA from 1 species
UACGAUUUCCCUUUAUCCUUUGCACCCUACGAUCUUCUCUUGCUCGUGUUGUUGACUCUACGUUCCCGAGAGCUCACUACGAUCGUUGACUUGUAAACUUCAUGUUUCCUUCAGCACACUGCGAUCGUGGAGUUAACUCAGCACUCGUUGGGACCACUCUACGAAGUCCGAAGAGUUUCAUUGAAGGCAGGCACACUGUG